rnacentral:rRNA from 1 species
CACACUCACACACACACACUCACACACACAUAUACACGCAUACACACCAAAGACGUAUCACUUACGCAACUGCAACAGCUGCUUAAUACAGUCACACUUGUCUUGACUUGGCACAACCCACACACACACACUCACACAUUACACAUUAUAUUGCUUCACACACAAUAUAUAUGUGAUUUCUCUGUUUUCGCAUAUUUCAAGAACUGCGAUUACAUCGUGACACUCUUUUUUUAUGGAUAACUCAGGGAAAGUUUGGCUAAUACGUACGAGUAUUUUACACACACACACACUCACAACACACAUACACUACUCAGCACUCAAUGGUAAACUUUGAUAUUUUGCAUUCGUGCAUUUAUCAGUUUUAAAGUUUACCGCAACAUGAGAGACAUUGAGUACGCACUGCAUUUGUAAUUUUUAAUUACUUUUGCAAUUACGCUGAGCAGACUUUGCGAAGUUCACUUUGCGAAGCAUGUCAUACAAGCAUCUACAGCAUCAAGUCACAGGGUUGGCAAGUGUAUUUUUGAACCUUCAAAGCAGUCACGCAUACGGAAGAGUAGUUUCUGAUCCCAUAGAAGGAGCACCGUACAAUGAGAGACCCGCUCUUAGUUCUAAGGAACGCAGCAGGCGCGUAAAUUGCCCAAUGCUAGUACCCUAAUACAAACAUUAUAUAUAGCAAUUUACAAUAUAUGCAACAUGUAUUUUACACAUACAUACGCAAACAUAUUGACACUUUUUAACUACUGUCACACACACACACACACAUCCUUGUUCGCAUGUCCUAUAUUGUAAUUUUAUUAAUUUAUAUUAUAUAUAAAUUUUAUUUUACUGAGGCAGUGACAAGCUGUAACGGUUGAGUAUAAAAAUGACGAGUGUCUGGCAUUGCCGCUUCUUUCGGGGAGCUUGGCAAGUUGCCGACGCUUUGUGUGCUCAAUUGGAAUGCGGUGAGUAAGCAACUCAGAACCUUUAAUACGGUGUGAUUUUUUGAUCAUCGUGUUAUGUAUCUGAAUUUCAAGUGAGGGCAAGNNNNNNNNNNNNNNCCGCGGUAAUACCAGCUCCACUGGCCUAUACAAUCAUUGUUGCGGUUAAGAGGCUCGUAGUUGGAUUGAACUACUGAUUAUUAUUUACACAAAUACUAUCAGUAUUUUUAUAUACGUGUAUAUAUAUGUAUUUUUUAUUAAAUAUAUGUUAUAUAUGUAUUCGACGCUGUUAUAAAUUAAUAAUUUUAUAUUAUAUUUCGGCACACACACACACACACACAUACGCAGAUAGUAUUUUUUAUUCAUAUCAUUUCAACACUGUGAACAAAUCAGAGUGUAUCAAACAUGUCAUUUUUGAAUGUGCAUUGAAUGUCUUAUCAUGGGAUGUUGCCACUUUCAUAAAUAUAUUGUUAAAGAUACGCUAUACACACACACACAUACAUACAUAUCAUGCGUUUAGCCAAAUGUAAAAAUUUUAUAUUUUUAUAUCUUUAACGGUUAAAAAUGUCGAUGGGGAUAGUUGGAGUCAACAGUACUGCUGGGCGAGAGGUGAAAUUCAUUGACCCUAGCAAGACUACCAAAAGCGAAAGCAGUUGGCUAGGCUAUACUCUUUGUGAUUAAUUAUAUAUUUUAUACGUAUUUUUACUGUAUUACACACACACACACAAUUCAUACGGUAUUAAUAUAUUUAUAUUUUAUAUAAUACAAUACACUUUACAAUGAAGAACGAAGGUUGGGGGAUCAAAGAGGAUCAGAUACCCUCGUCGUCCCAUUAAUUACAUCAAACGAUGGACUCUCAAUUGCAUUUAUACUCGUAUAAUUGCAAAUUUCCUCAGCCUGCAAAUAUAUUUUUUAGCUUGAGCUCGUGAUUUCGAUCACGCUCGCUAUAUUUUUAUUUCGUAUGGUCUCGAUGUGACGUUUCAAUUAUAUAUUUUCUUUGCGUGUAAGCAUUAUACAUUAUUCUUUGAAACAUAAGAUUUGUAUUGCGUGCACUUGAUUUUCGGAGCUUUGCGCUCAAUUCUGGUGAGAUGUAGGCACUAUGUUAUUUUACCCGUACGUAUAUACCUUGUGAUUCGUCACUGGUAUUUUACUGUAUUGUGUGUAUUAUAACACUUUCAGUGUGAAGCACGCUUUAGGCACGCGCUUACUGCAGAAAUGUCUGAGACAUUCUCCUCCGGGGGUAGUAUGCACGCAAGUGUGAAACUUGAAGGAAUUGACGGAAGGGCACCACAAGAACGCGUGGAGCAUGUGGCUUAAUUUGACUCAACGCGGAAAUCUUACCGGGUCCGGACACACUGAGGAUUGACAGGCAAUAUUAAUAUAUAUUGCAUUUAUGUACAUUAUAUUAUGUUAAAUAUGCUAGUCCUUUCAUGAUUAUGCGAUAGGUGGUGCAUGGCCGUUCUUAGUUCGUGGAGUGAUCUGUCUGCUUAAUUGCGUUCCACUAUUGGGCUUAUAUAAUUACGUAUGCUGUUAACGCUUUGACCCCUUUCUACGGAUUGUGCGUGUCUUUGUCUCGUUUAACUCAUACAAUUAAGCCCUGAAAGCAACGAACGUGACCGCAACCUCUUGUUGCUCUCAUUCAUAUAUUAUGCAUUCGUGCAUUUUAUUCACAUACUUUUUUAUAUUUAUUUAUCGAAUUGUAUUAAGAGAGCUUUCUAAACUAGAGGGACCGCUGUUACUUUCUUAAACCAGAGGAAGGUUGCGGCAAUAACAGGUCUGUGAUGCCCUUAGAUGUUCCGGGCUGCACACGUGCUACAAUGAUUAUUGCAGUGAGCAUCUCAUUUUUUACACAUCGCAUGCGCGAGUCCAUUUAUUCUUUACCUUCGUGUAUUGCUUUAAAUGUGUAUCUCUGCGCGCGAUAAAGCCUGCUUCGAAAGUCAGUGGGUAAUCAAUUAGAAGUAAUGAUUUCCGUUUUAUUUUAUUAUAUCUGCACACAUAUAUACGGCACUUAUACCCGGGUAACCUUGUUGUUACUUCUGUGUGUAUACGUGAUAUCGUUUUCUUGUAAAACUUUAUAUUACCGUAUGUGCAAUUGUCAAUUCAUGGUGGGGACAGACCAUUGUUAAUUGUUGUCUCGGUCUUAACUAGGAAUGCCUUGUACGGAUCUUUGGUUCAACAAACCAUCCGGAAUACGUCCCUGCCCUUUGUACACACCGCCCGUCGCUCUUACCGAUGGACUUCUCUGUGAGUUUGAGGGACUGGUAUUUUGAUAAAUUCGUUUAUCAUAUCACUAUAGAAACUUAAACGAACAGUGGGGUCUAAAGGAAAGAGAAGUCGUAACAAGGCAUCAGUAGGUGAACC